AAAAAAGUUGAUGUUUUCGGUCAAAGUAGAUGUUUUUGGUCAAAGUUGGUGGAAACUGGAAGUUUGCAACCAAAGAUGAUGAUUUCGGUCAAAGUAGAUGUUUUUGGUCAAAGUUGGUGGAAACUGGAAGUUUGCAACCAAAGAUGAUGAUUUCGGUCAAAGUAGAUGUUUUUGGUCAAAGUUGGUGGAAACUGGAAGUUUGCAACCAAAGAUGAUGUUUUUGGUCAAAGUAGAUGUUUUUGGUCAAAGUUGGUGGAAACUGGAAGUUUGCAACCAAAGAUGAUGAUUUCGGUCAAAGUAGAUGUUUUUGGUCAAAGUUGGUGGAAACUCGAGGUUUGCAACCAAAGAUGAUGAUUUCGGUCAAAGUAGAUGUUUUUGGUCAAAGUUGGUGGAAACUGGAAGUUUGCAACCAAAGAUGAUGAUUUCGGUCAAAGUAGAUGUUUUUGGUCAAAGUUGGUGGAAACUCGAGGUUUGCGACUAAAGUUGAUGUUUUCGGUCAAAGUUGAUGUUUUUGGUCAAAGUUGGUGGAAACUGGAAGUUUGCAACCAAAGAUGAUGAUUUCGGUCAAAGUAGAUGUUUUUGGUCAAAGUUGGUGGAAACUGGAAGUUUGCAACCAAAGAUGAUGAUUUCGGUCAAAGUAGAUGUUUUUGGUCAAAGUUGGUCGAAACUGGAAGUUUGCAACCAAAGAUGAUGUUUUCGGUCAAAGUAGAUGUUUUUGGUCAAAGUUGGUGGAAACUCGAGGUUUGCGACCAAAGAUGAUGAUUUCGGUCAAAGUAGAUGUUUUUGGUCAAAGUUGGUGGAAACUGGAAGUUUGCAACCAAAGAUGAUGAUUUCGGUCAAAGUAGAUGUUUUUGGUCAAAGUUGGUGGAAACUUGAUGUUUGCAACCAAAGAUGAUGAUUUCGGUCAAAGUAGAUGUUUUUGGUCAAAGUUGGAAGAAACUUGAAGUUUGCAACCAAAGAUGAUGAUUUCGGUCAAAGUUGAUGUUUUUGGUCAAAGUUGGUGGAAACUGGAAGUUUGCAACCAAAGAUGAUGAUUUUGGUCAAAGUAGAUUUUUUUGGUCAAAGUUGGUGGAAACUGGAAG